GGAGGGAAUUGCAUUAAAGUUUACCACUGGACAUUCAGGUACACCAAACAUUCUGUCAAUUGCAACUUCUUCAAGAAAGAUGGCUUGCAGCCUGCAAAUGCACUCCAGCAGGAAAUUUCAGAGUAUCUGGUCCAGCCUAUAAUUAAAGAUGGAAGUCUCCUGUAGAUUUUUUAGUCUCUCAAGACUGGCAAUGGUUACUCAAGCAGAUAACGUCAUACUCAUUCACUCAUUUAACAAACAUUAAUUGACCCCAUAUCCUCAGAGCUGUGCUUGAAGCUACUUGUGGAUAUGUCCUGGUUGUACCUGUGCCCAAGAUUAUUGGAGAACUGAACAGAGCAAGACAGUUGUGCAUGGGGUUCCUAACUGAGCCCAAGAGGGUCUGCCAAACCAUGAGGUUUGAAAGAACCACCAAAACACACAAAAGAGGGUAGGGUAACAGUGAUGGUGACUGUUAAAGAAAACUUGGUAAUGUGGCUGGACCUUGAUCAUUGAUCAUUGGCCUUUGGAAAGAGACAUUGGCAUUUGGAAAGAGACAUUUCAAUCUGACACAAAAAGAGAUGGGAAUGUUUCCUCAACCAGAAGCUGUAAUGACCAAAUAGUGUUUCACCAGAAAAUUCUGAGAGCUUCAUGCUGACUACUGGGACAGGAAGGGAUAGAGAUAACUAGAGGCAGAGAAUCCAGAUGGGAAUGACCACAACAGCCCAUGGAUGGACUAUGGCUUCCAUACUCAAUUUUGUUUUUCUUUUUUGAGGAAAGAAGAGUUUAUGAAGAUCUCUAAAACUUCAAAUGUAUUUUUUUGAAUUUUGAUUUAGGAUUCCAACUUUAUUUCAACAUCACACAACUACUUUGAAGUUCUGGUAUGGAACAUUAUCUAGAGUCAUAUGUUUGCCAAAUAUCUCUAAAUGACAUAAAAAUAUUAAGUUCUUUGUAGUUUGAAAGGCCUUUCUAGAUAUGAAAACUUUAAAACAGAUUUAUUCAUCAUACCAUCUAAUUGCAUUUUCACUCUGUGACCUCGGGCAUCCGGUGUUGUACAAAUCCAAUAUAGUCCUGAAAAUAUUUUGGAUAUUGAAAUUCCAAAUAGCUUGAACAUGUAUUUUCUUAUUUUCAGUAGAAGAAUAAAAAAGCAUUUCUUAAAAUCCUGAUCAAUUUUCCCAUAUAUCACUAAACCACUCUUAGAAACAUACACAAUUAUCCGUGGAGGAUUUUGGAAAGAUAUAAUGGAUUUAAAACACCAGUUGCAUAAUGAACUCAUUAGUAGUGAGUGGACAAAUGCUCUGUGUGACCAUGUUUUUUGAUAGCUAAUACAUGUUACAUUGUCCUUUCUUAUUGUUUACGGUUUUGUAUUCAUUUUCUUUUUUCAAAAUGCUGUUUUUAUUCUCUUCUCUUUUUAGUUAUAAGGUUUUCUAGACCUCUUCAUGUACUUUUUUCAUAGGCUUUUCCACAUUCUUAGAAGGCAUUUUCACUUACCAAUGGAGGGAGGAGGAAGAUGAUGGCCAUACGCACAAGUUUAAAUAACCCAAUCAACAAGACAAACAAGAGAGAAGCCAUCUUACAGGGGAAGCAACUAAGAUAGACCGCAGGGCGCCCCAUGAUCUCUUGCCCAGACUUGUGUUCAAAUGAUGAGUUUUUACUGGCCCCAGCAUGCAGAUAUUUUAUAGCAGAAUUUCUUUCUUUUUUUUUUUAAAGAUUUUUUUUUAUUUUAUUUAUUUGACAGAGAGAGAUCACAAGUAGACAGAGAGGCAGGCAGAGACAGAGAGAGAGAGGGAAGCAGGCUUCCUGUCAAGCAGAGAGCCCGAUGUGGGGCUCGAUCCCAGGACCCUGAGAUCAUGACCUGAGCCAAAGGCAGCGGCUUAACCCACUGAGCCACCCAGGCGCCCCUAUAGCAGAAUUUCAAUUAGGAUAAUGCAUGUGGGGUAAAAAUGGUUCCAAGUCAUUACAGAGAAUAUUUGGAGAAUGUGAUUCAGGUAGUAAAUUCGAUGUCUGUAUUGUGUUCUGUGAACGCACUGUCUUUUGUUUUUUAAAAAAAAAAAGAAAAAAGAAAGAAAAAUGUUUUUAUAAUUAACAAAAUAAAUCCAAAGCACAAAAAUACAAAAAAUAAAACCAAUUAUAUUUAUUUAAUUCCUUAUGGUUUGCACCCUGUCUUCUGAUUAGACAACAAAUCUUUUUGUGGAAAUGACCUCAUUUUACAACUCAAUCCAACAGGGCGCCUGGGUGGCUCAGUCCCGCAUCGGGCUCUCUGCUCAGCAGGGAGCCUGCUUCCCUUCCUCUCUCUCUGCCUGCCUCUCUGUCUACUUGUGAUCUCUCUUUGUCAAAUAAAUAAAAUCUUUAAAAAAAAAAAAAAAACAACUCAAUCCAACAAAUGAUGCUGGCCGCCUACGUGGUGACACAGAUGGAGUACCUCGGCUGAAUUCGUAAGCUUGUUCCAGAAAGAGUUUGUUUGCUCCCAGUUUCCAUGUCUGGAUUCCAUGUAUCUGCCACUAGGUAGUUCGGUUACCUCUCCUAGCACUCCACUUCCCCAAACAAACGAAACCUUUUCCCAACCAUGACCAAAGCAGCAAACAGUCGGAUCAUUCAUACUCAUUCAUUCAUUCAAAAUGUGAUUAUUAAAAUAAGAACAUGAAUUAUUAGACCACGAAUAAUCACAAAUCAAUGCGUGUGAUUCCUAUAUAUUUUAGAGAAAAAUCGAAAGCCGUAAAACACAUAAGGGGGCAAAUUAAGUAUCCUUUCCCCAUUAAACUUCAAUUUUUGGCCAUAACCUCUUCUUCUCCUAACCCCACUUUCCUUAUUUUGCAAAAACAUUUUACUUUCUUAGACUAAGUUGCCAGUGUCAAAAAGACCUAAAUCUUCAAAGGGUCCCAGAAGCUCAGUCUCUUCUUUUCUCUGCUUCAGCGUUUCUUGUGGUUCUGGGGUCAAAAGCCUAUAAGCUAUUUCCUUCACUUAUUAGAGAAAGGCAUUCUCUUUCACUCCUUGGUACUCUGAAUAGAUUCUGACGUACGUUAACUGGCAGGCUAGACUUCCAGAGGAAAUCUGGCUCUAAGCUUCCAGAACUGACCUUCCUUCCUCUUUUCUUUUCUUUUCUUUUCUUUUCUUUUCUUUUCUUUUCUUUUCACAGUCAUAAGAGGAAAAAUCAGGAAGACAAUGGCAAGCAGUGACAAACACUUAUACACCCAACAGGACAAAACGUUCUCCCAGUGAUCAGGGCAGCUGUCAUUGACCCAGACUGACUUCCUCCCCUCCCCCCUCUCCUCUCCUCCCCUUUGAAGGCACAUAAAUUCAGUGUCUACUGAGGAGACAGUUUUCACAGGCUCCCCCAGGUCAGUACUGUCUAAGGACAACACACUAUAAGCCACAUAUGUCAUUUAAAACUUUUCUGCAGCCAUAUUUAUUUAUUUAUUUUUAUUUUUUUAAAAAAUAUUUUAUUUAUUUAUUUGACAGAGAUCACAAGUAGGCAGAGAGGCAGGCAGAGAGAGAGGAGGGAGCAGGCUCCCCGCCGAGCAGA